GGAUGACGUCAAAUCAUCAUGCCCCUUAUGAUUUGGGCUACACACGUGCUACAAUGGACAAUACAAAGGGCAGCGAAACCGCGAGGUCAAGCAAAUCCCAUAAAGUUGUUCUCAGUUCGGAUUGUAGUCUGCAACUCGACUACAUGAAGCUGGAAUCGCUAGUAAUCGUAGAUCAGCAUGCUACGGUGAAUACGUUCCCGGGUCUUGUACACACCGCCCGUCACACCACGAGAGUUUGUAACACCCGAAGCCGGUGGAGUAACCUUUUAGGAGCUAGCCGUCGAAGGUGGGACAAAUGAUUGGGGUGAAGUCGUAACAAGGUAGCCGUAUCGGAAGGUGCGGCUGGAUCACCUCCUUU
rnacentral:rRNA from 1 species